GGAGAGGUGUCAGAGUGGUCGAAUGUGCUGGUCUCGAAAACCGGUGUUGUGAAAGCAACCGCGGGUUCAAAUCCCGCCCUCUCCGCCA
rnacentral:tRNA from 1 species